AUUGAACGCUGGCGGCAGGCCUAACACAUGCAAGUCGAGCGAGCGGCGGACGGGUGAGUAAUGUCUGGGAAACUGCCUGAUGGAGGGGGAUAACUACUGGAAACGGUAGCUAAUACCGCAUACCAUCAGAUGUGCCCAGAUGGGAGUAGCUGGUAGGUGGGGUAACGGCUACCCUAGGCGACGAUCCCUAGCUGUUCUGAGAGGAUGACCAGGCACACUGUACCGGAGACACGGUCCAGAUUCCUACGGGAGGCAGCAGUGGGGAAUAGUGCACAAUGGGCGAAAGCCCGAUGCAGCCAUGCCGCGUGUGUGAAGAAGGCCUUCGGGUGGUAAAGCACUUGCAGCGGGGAGGCGUUACCCGCAGAAGAAGCACCGGCUAACUCCGUGCCAGCCGCCGCGGUAAUUC
rnacentral:rRNA from 1 species